AGAGUUUGAUCCUGGCUCAGGAUGAACGCUAGCGGCAGGCCUAAUACAUGCAAGUCGAACGGUAACAUAUCCGCUUGCGGAUGAUGACGAGUGGCGGACGGGUGCGUAACGCGUAUGCAACCUACCUCUUUCUGGAGAAUAGCUCGGAGAAAUUCGGAUUAAUACUCCAUAAUAUUUCAAAAUCACAUGUUUUUGAAAUUAAAGCUUUGGCGGUAAGAGAUGGGCAUGCGUGACAUUAGCUAGUUGGUGAGGUAACGGCUCACCAAGGCAACGAUGUCUAGGGGGUCUGAGAGGAUGAUCCCCCACACUGGUACUGAGACACGGACCAGACUCCUACGGGAGGCAGCAGUAAGGAAUAUUGGUCAAUGGACGAAAGUCUGAACCAGCCAUGCCGCGUGCAGGAUGAAGGCCCUACGGGUUGUAAACUGCUUUUAUAUGGGAAGAAACCCCCUUUCGUGAAAGGGGCUGACGGUACCAUAAGAAUAAGCACCGGCUAACUCCGUGCCAGCAGCCGCGGUAAUACGGAGGGUGCAAGCGUUAUCCGGAUUUAUUGGGUUUAAAGGGUGCGUAGGCGGAAUUGUAAGUCAGUGGUGAAAGCCCGCAGCUCAACUGUGGAACUGCCAUUGAUACUGCUUUUCUUGAGUAUAGUUGAGGUAAGCGGAAUGUGUAGUGUAGCGGUGAAAUGCAUAGAUAUUACACAGAACACCAAUUGCGAAUGCAGCUUACUAAGCUACUACUGACGCUUAGGCACGAAAGCGUGGGGAGCG
rnacentral:rRNA from 1 species